GGGCGCGUAGCCUAAAGGGUGGGGUGCCAAACCCAAAUCCCGAAUCAAGUGAGUGUGCAAAAAUGGGAAUCUCUAUCGCAAUCUCAUGCUUGAUAUAGCCACCGUGCUCCACCACCACCUCCUCCUCCUCCUCGCCGUCACCACCGCCACCAGCAAUGGCGAAGCGACAGUGUCCGUCAGAAAACCCUAGACCGGAGCAGGUGGAGAAUCUUCUCAACGCGUUCCUCUCCCUCUCGGAUUUACCGUCUCUCUCCCUCGAUCUCUCCUUCGAGAAUCUUCUCCAAUCAAUGCCCGCUCCUCACGACUCAUCCGAUCUCAUCGAUCGCGCUCUCAAGAUGGGCUCGCUCCUCCUCCACGUCGCCAACCACUCCUCCCGCAAACGCGCUUCCCACCAUAAUUCACUCUCCUGGCCCCUCUCUCACGACCUCACCAUCAAGGUCUUCUCGAUGCUUGAUACCCAGAGCCUGUGCUAUGCAUCAGCUUCUUGUUCAUUCUUUAGCAAGUGUGCCAAAGAUCCUAUGUGCUAUGCAAAUCUUGAUUUGACUACACCUGUUCCCAAGGUUAACAAUGCAGUGGUUGCAACGAUGAUUCAGCGAGCUGGAAAGGCACUGAGGUCUCUUAAGCUUGGUGUUGUCCCUGGUGCCACUACUUCACCUGGAUGUUGUCAACCAUUGAUUUGUGCCGUUAGGAAUGCUAUUGUAGACGUUUCUAACAUUUCAUGGAUUGAUAAGAGAUCUCGUCAAGGGAGAGACCCAUCAUCCAUUCUUACAAGAUGCUGUUUAAGCCCUUUAAGUGGGGACGGUGGUGCUCCGGGGGCUCUUUUGAGAAAGUUGCACCUGUACAAUAUUGAGAGAAUGGAUAAUGCAUCCCUUGGUGGGGCAUUGUUAGCAUGCCCUUCUCUCCUUGAUCUGGAAAUUGUUGGGCUCCAUGUUGAACUGAGGCAAACAUUAAUGUCAGUAAGUGCAAACUGCCACUUGAUCGAGCGUUUGUGUUUUGAGUCUUCUAAAGCAGGUAGAGAUGAUAGCUUGAAAGCGCAAACGUGUUCUGAGCUGGUAAACAAUUGUCCUCAUCUAGCUUCUUUAUCUCUUCGAGGGUUUAAGCUACAUGAUUGUAAAGUUCGCAUACUGGUUAAGGGAUUUCGGAAACUGAAAUAUGUUGACUUUUCAACAUCCUAUUCAAUCACGGGAAAUUUCUUAAGAAACCUUGGAAGCUGCAAUGGUGGGAACUUGCUUGAGGUCUUAAUUUUAAGGGAUUGCAUGCAUCUCAAAGAGACGGAAGCUACCAGGUUGUUGACAGCGAUUCUUGCAGGAGAUUUCAAAUUGCUUGUACAUCUGGACAUAUCCAAUAGGGAAGGCUUAGCAUCUGAGGUUGACUGGUAUCGGAGGUGCUACAACCCUAGUACUAUGCCUAUAAAGCAGGUUUUGGAAGCAAGGCCUGAUAUGCAUUUGGUGGCUGAAUAUCCAUCAGAAGGAAGUUACAUGGAAUUUGAUGCUGAUGAUAGUGAUCCAAGUGUGCCAUUACACUCUAGCAGCCACACAUCAGAUGGAUCAAGUUUUAUGAGUACAUCUGAAGGCAGCUAUAAUAGUGAUCAGGGUAGUGGCAAUGAGGAUGCUCCAGAUGCCAACUAUGUGGUUUAUGAGGAAAGCUCUGAUGAGAUUGACUUUCUGGCCGUGUAGCGAAAUCCUCAUUGUAUGGCACUAAUUGAAAAUGGACAACAAUCUAGUGAACCUGGGUCCCUGUGAGGAACAGAAAUAUGAGAAAUAUAUACCCCAUAGCAGGGAUCAGGGACAUGGACUUGGGCGGGAUGCAGGAGUGGGAAGUGGGAAGGCACGAGCACCCCACCCCUACCCGCAUUCGUGCCAUCCUUGGUGUUGCUUGCAUUCCUCUUGGAAAUUAGAGAUAAUACUUUUUGCUAUGUCAAAAUGGAAUGGCACAAUUUGAUGCUUUGAAGUUGCCAAAAGCUUGUCUUCUGAAUUUCAAUAUUUUUGAUAGCCCUAUUUCGAGUAUGUUUGGUUUUCCAUCCACUGGCACAUUCAAUCACAAUUUUUUUUUCUUGAAAUGCCAAAUUGCUAAUUUUAACAUUCACGAUUUCACGUUCUUGUGUCUCCUGAUUCAUCAACCGGGGAAGGAGGAUGUGCGGCAGCGGCAGGAUGGAUGUCAGCUGUGGACCAGAUUUUUUCAACUUUCAUUUUGUCUUGUAUUGAAGUUCAUCACUGUGGAGCUUUGAAUGUGGAGGUCUAUUUGAGAUUGGCAGCAAUUUUGUUAAUGUCCUUUGUUUCCAUUUUGUUAGCGUAAUUUUUCGGGGGGGAGGGGGUGGGUGCAGGUU